AUUGAACGCUAGCGGCAGGCCUGACACAUGCAAGUCGAGAGAGCGGCGGACGGGUGAGUAAUGUAUGGGGACUGCCCGAUAGAGGGGGAUAACUACUGGACACGGUAGCUAAUAUCGCAUACUAUCAGAUAAACCAUAUUGGAUUAGCUAGUAGGUGAGGUAAUGGCUCAACUAGGCGACGAACCCUCGCUGGUCUGAGAGGAUGAUCAGCCACACUGGGCCUGAGACACGGCCCAGACUCCUACGGAGGCAGCAGUGGGGAAGCUUGCACAAUGUGCGCAAUCCGGAUGCAGCCAUGCCGCGUGUAUGAAGAAGGCCCGAGGGUUGUAAAGUACUUUCAGUCGGGAGGCGUUACCGACAGAAUAAGCACCGGCUAACUCCGUGCCAGCAGCCGCGGUAAUUC
rnacentral:rRNA from 1 species